GGGAAUGUGGCUUAGUGGUAGAGUGCUUGCCUAGCAUGCAUGAAGCCCUGGGUUCGAUUUCUCAGUAUCA
rnacentral:tRNA from 1 species